AUGAGCAGCAAGAGCACAAUACAAAUGUUGAUCAACAAAACUUGCUGGAAAGACAAGAAUCUGCCAAAGUCAAAGAAAAAUGAUAAAGCGGAGUCUCAGAUCAAGGGGAAGAUUCUCCUGUCAACAGCCCCACCUAAACCAGCUAAGCAGCAAAAGAUUGUCAAGUUUGCCAAGGGCACAAAGGAGGAACAGGGCAGAAAAGGUGUGGGGUCCAGACACGAGACAAAACAACGUGCCACAGCCAUCGAUGCAGGACUGCCAAGUUCUGAUAGUUUGGUGCCAACUCAGGCUGCAAAGGUACCAACUUCAGAUACCAGUGUACCAACUGAAGUGGUCACAGUCAAAACUAGCAGAGUUGCUCAGGAAGACUCAACUGCAACCGCAAGCCCCAAGGUGACCAUUCAUAGAGAUUCUUCAAUGCCAAACACGGAAGGAGGUUGUCAAUCUGUCAAAUUGCCAUCUCCAAGAGCUAUCACAGAGCAUCCAAGCAAGUUUGCAUCACCAAGAGCUGAUUUUCAGAACAUAUUAACACAAGAGGAGGUGUUCAACAUUGUAAGCAGGUGCAAGCCUCCCAAGCCGCCAACCACAAUAUUACUGCGAACCAGGUCAGCGAACGAUGCACCUGUGAAUGUGCCACAAGAAGAUGCCCCUGGCCUUCAACCCAUAUGCAGAUCAAAUUCUUACAGCUAUCAUGGUGACGGGUACUGCGAUGCACCAACUUUUGACCUAGGCAUAGAUGAUGAUGCUGGGCAUGCUGCAGCACUUGCUCCAGCAGCACAAACAGGGGAAGCAAACAUGGUUGUCAUAGAUGAGGAUGAGUUGGACCCAGCAACAGUGAAUGAAGGAUGCGUUGCUGCUGAUGCUGGCAAGGGAUUGGCUCACCAGCCAGAUGUUGGAUCACCAGACAACUGCCACACCCUGAUAUGCGAAGAACCAGCAGUUGGCAUGAGCAGUUCUUUAGGACCACCUUUUGCACGAAGAUAG
rnacentral:rRNA from 1 species